rnacentral:lncRNA from 1 species
GGUUAACACCAGGAAAUCCUGUUAGUGACGGCCUUGGAGAGGAGUGCAGACAGCCAAGCGGGAGGCAGGUCACUCCGAUAACAUCGCAAGAAAAGUUCAAUUAGCAGGUUUUACAACCAUUUCAGAGAGGCACCCUCUACUGGAACCUGGACAGUCAGGUUGAUAGUGGGAAGUGGGUUGGAGGAUGCCAAAGACUGAAGGGAGAAUUCAUCUGAACUAUCACCACC